GCCAGCAGCUAUAACACGUUGAACGAACCAGUUUCCGACUGAACACUGAGGUUAAGUAACGUAUUGAGCGGUUGGAAUCGAUAUGACUAUCUGGGACAGCACGCUCUGCUGGCC
rnacentral:rRNA from 1 species